rnacentral:rRNA from 1 species
AACGAACGCUGGCGGCAUGCCUAACACAUGCAAGUCGAACGAGACCUUCGGGUCUAGUGGCGCACGGGUGCGUAACGCGUGGGAACCUGCCCUUAGGUUCGGAAUAACUCCCCGAAAGGGGUGCUAAUACCGGAUAAUGUCUUCGGACCAAAGAUUUAUCGCCUUUGGAUGGGCCCGCGUUGGAUUAGCUAGUUGGUAGGGUAAAAGCCUACCAAGGCGACGAUCCAUAGCUGGUCUGAGAGGAUGAUCAGCCACACUGGGACUGAGACACGGCCCAGACUCCUACGGGAGGCAGCAGUGGGGUAUAUUGGACGCUGGGCGAAAGCCUGAUCCAGCAAUGCCGCGUGAGUGAUGAAGGCCUUAGGGUUGUAAAUCUCUUUUACCCGGGAUGAUAAUGACAGUACCGGGAGAAUAAGCUCCGGCUAACUCCGUG